CAAAGUUCCCACCUGAGUGGUAAUGUUUUGACUUCCACCUGGGAAACUAGGCAGAUUGACUCCCAUGAGGAAGAAGUGCUUGUCCUAUCCAGAAGUGGAGCCUUAGCUCCUGCCUUAGAAAAACAGCUGGAAGAAGUGAUAUCAGAAAAGCAAGGGAAAUAUUGCAGUUUUCCAAGAUCGUGUGCUCAGUUACAUCUGGUCGUCUCCGUCUUUUCAACUAAAGCCUGGCCUUCAGUCUUCAUUCUCCUCAGAUUCUGCAAAGAAACCUAUUUGACUCAUUAUCCCUCAGUGAAAAUAGAAUAUGCGGGCAUUUCCAGUCUUCAUCCCCCAUCAAAUAUCCUGGAUUUAAAAGAGAGAGCCCAUUUCAGGGUGGGUCUCACGCCUCAAUAUUAAUCACAAAAAUCUGCCCCUGACUAAAUGAACUUGUAUUUUUGAUGUGUGGGGUCAGAAGUUACAACUGAUUCUGCAUAUAUAUCUUUAUCUCUUGCCCUUGAGUAUAAAGCUCCUUGAGAAUAGGGAUGGUGUGUAAUAUGUGUUUUUUCAGUAGCAAAUACAGCAAGCAACAUCAAAAAUAGUCGUGUUGAAACAACAUAAUUCUCUGCUUCAUUCUUUUCUAAAAGCCGUAUGAGCCUCAGGAAAAUAAGGAAGAGGCAACACCUUACAUAAUAUCAUGCUGCAAAUAGCUCUCAGUAAAAUGUACAGUCCUUGUGUAUUAUUAAAUGAGAACAAUGUCACACUCUGAGAGUCUUUACCUCCCCAGCCCUGAAAGACUUGAAAUUUUUCAGUAUUGUGUUUCAAUUUCAAAAUUUUUACAGCUUUUUCUCUGGUCCCCUGGAAUAAUCUGAGCAUGUUAUUUUGUUUGAAAUCUUAGUUUGGUACGUUGACUGGGGGCGGUGUCUAUAAACUAUGAUCAUUGUAGGUCUAGGUUUGCUUGGCAAUAAAAUUACAGGGCAGCUGCCCUGCAAGGUUAAAAAAAAAAAAGACUGCUAGGUUCAGUAAAGCAUUUCUCUGUGAUGCUAACCUUAAUUACUACAAAAUCAGGACUAAUAGCAAUUCAAGCGACAGAAACUCAAGCACCAUUGCAACAUCCUAUUUGAGAAUCAGUAACAAAGUAUUAAGUAGAAAGGAUGUAAAAUACCUGAUGCUUCUAAAUGGAGUGGAGAGUUCAUUUUUUCCAGCCUAAUAUCUUAGCAGUCUAGUGAUCAGAGUAUUUCAUCUCCCCAUUUCCCAGCCAUCCUGCUUUGAGUAAUCCUUGGGGGCUCCAGCAAUCAGAAUAAGUUCAACUAAAAAAUCAGUCAUUGUUAAUAGAUUGUGCAACUCAUGAUUUGCCAGUAGACUAAGCUCCCAAGGAUAGGAGCCAUAUCUUCUGUUUCUACUGUAUAUUCCCAAGUUUCUAGUGUAAGUGCUCUGUACAGAGAAGCUCAAUAAUAAGUGAUGGUGAUGAUGAAGCAACCCAUAAUUCUUCAAAGACAUAUAACAUGGUCCAAUAGAUAAUAAUAAUGUUAGUAUUUGUUAAGCGCUUACUGUGUGCAGAGCACUGUUCUAAGCGCUGGGAUAGAUACAGGGUAAUCAGGUUGUCCCACGUGAGGCUCACAGUUAAUCCCCAUUUUACAGAUGAGGUAACUGAGGCUCAGAGAAGUUAAGUGACUUGCCCACAGUCACACAGCUGACAAGUGACAGAUCCAGGAUUUGAACCCAUGACCUCUGACUCCCAAGCCCAGGCUCUUUCCUCUGAGCCAUGAGAUACUACUUGCCUGGAGCUACAUGUGUACCCAACCAGGUUGCCCUGGAUCAUAUGUGGGUUUUUUUUCCCUUUGGUCUAACUUUGAUGGAAAAUCCCUAUGAGGACAAAACAAUCUAUUUCUUUAUCCUUGGAUAAAAUAGUGGUAAUAGUAUUUAUUAGUUGAUAGUAUUUAUUGAAUGCUUACUAUGUGCUCAGCAUUGCACUAAGCACUGAGAUAAAAUGCCCAGUUGGGAAUUAAUAAGAUUCUUGUCCCUUGUGGGGCUCACAAAUAGAUGGAUUCUUCUUGGUGAAUUAAAAAUCUUAAUAAAUGUGGAAGUCUGGAAGGUAAUCAUAGAAUAGUUUUGGUACUUGUUAAGUGCUUACUGUGUGUCAAGCACUGUUCUAAGUGCUGGGGUAGAUAAAAAGCUAAUCAGAUUGGACACAAUCCCUAUCCCAAAUGGGGGUCACAAUUCAAGUAGGAGAGAGAAUGGGUAUUGAAUCCCCAUUUUAUAGAUGAGGAAACUGAGGCCCAGAGAAGUUAAGUAGCUUGCCUAGGGUCACACAGCAGACUAGUGAUGAGUCGGAAUUUGAACUCAGAUCCUCUGACUCCCAGGCUUGUGCUCUUUCCAAUAGUCCAGGCUGUCAAUUGGAAAGUAGGCAGUUUGCCCCCUUGAGAAACUUUUUACGUGUAUAUAUACUAAAAUCCUAAGUGUUUCCAUACUGCUAAUAAGUAUACCUUCUAGUAGAAGUGUCAAGAAUGGGAAAUCCUUGAUUAAACAAAUAUCUAAGUUACAAAGGACAGUUCUUCCAAUAUUUUUGAAUUUCCACCCUGUUUCAGGAUUACAAUAUUGGAUCUAGCUUACUGAGGCCAGGCUUGAAAGAUUACUAUUACUGCUUACCAGGGCCACAAAACCAGGAGACAAGGGUGGAACCAGGGUCUAUGGGGAAGGGGCUGCAGACAGUGACAGUGACACUUCUCUUUCUCCUCAUUUCCUUCUUUCUUUGCUGCUGGUGGCAGUGAGAGUCGCCCCCCCAUCUC
rnacentral:lncRNA from 1 species